rnacentral:piRNA from 1 species
CCCUCACUGAGUGAGCCACAGUAG